UGGGGAAUAUUGCACAAUGGGCGCAAGCCUGAUGCAGCCAUGCCGCGUGUAUGAAGAAGGCCUUCGGGUUGUAAAGUACUUUCAGCGGGGAGGAAGGGAGUAAAGCUAAUACCUUUGCCCAUUGACGUUACCCGCAGAAGAAGCACCGGCUAACUCCGUGCCAGCAGCCGCGGUAAUACGGAGGGUGCAAGCGUUAAUCGGAAUUACUGGGCGUAAAGCGCACGCAGGCGGUUUGUUAAGUCAGAUGUGAAAUCCCCGGGCUCAACCUGGGAACUGCAUCUGAUACUGGCAAGCUUGAGUCGCGUAGAGGGGGGUAGAAUUCCGAGUGUAGCGGUGAAAUGCGUAGAGAUCUGGAGGAAUACCGGUGGCGAAGGCGGCCCCCUGGACAAAGACUGACGCUCAGGUGCGAAAGCGUGGGGAGCAAACAGG
rnacentral:rRNA from 1 species